rnacentral:rRNA from 1 species
UACGAAGGGGGCUAGCGUUGUUCGGAAUUACUGGGCGUAAAGGGCGCGUAGGCGGUGUGUCAAGUCAGACGUGAAAUCCCCCGGGCUUAACCUGGGAAUGGCGUUUGAAACUACGGAGCUGGAGUGUGGCAGAGGGAGGUAGAAUUCCACGUGUAGCGGUGAAAUGCGUAGAUAUGUGGAGGAACACCGGUGGCGAAGGCGGCAUCCUGGACCGGCAUUGACGCUGAGGCGCGAAAGCUAGGGGGAGCAAACGGGG